UACGUAGGGUGCAAGCGUUGUCCGGAAUUAUUGGGCGUAAAGAGCUCGUAGGCGGUUUGUCGCGUCGGCUGUGAAAACUCGGGGCUCAACCCCGAGCCUGCAGUCGAUACGGGCAAACUAGAGUGUGGUAGGGGAGACUGGAAUUCCUGGUGUAGCGGUGAAAUGCGCAGAUAUCAGGAGGAACACCGGCGGCGAAGGCGGGUCUCUGGGCCAUAACUGACGCUGAGGAGCGAAAGCGUGGGUAGCGAACAGG
rnacentral:rRNA from 1 species